rnacentral:rRNA from 1 species
UACAGAGGGUGCGAGCGUUGUCCGGAAUCACUGGGCGUAAAGGGCGCGUAGGUGGCGGCCCAAGUCCAUGGUGAAAGCUCGAUGCUCAACAUCGAGUCGGCCACGGAUACUGGGUUGCUCGAGCACUGCAGGGGAGACUGGAAUUCCUGGUGUAGCGGUGGAAUGCGCAGAUAUCAGGAGGAACACCGGUGGCGAAGGCGGGUCUCUGGGCAGAAACUGACGCUGAGGAGCGAAAGCGUGGGGAGCGAACAGG